CAAACAAUUGAUUUGUAUCUACAUGUUUCAUUGAUUGUUUCGACUUGAAGGAAUGAAUUAUGACAGAGCAUUUGUUUCUUAAAGCUACAUUUUCAAUUUUUACAGAUUUGAAGACAUUGUUCUUGACUGAAACCGACAUAAUUCCCGUAACGUGAUAAAAUUAAGGUCUUGAUCGUUGUGAUUUAAUCAUUACUUUAAAUAAGAUCAAUAUGUACGUUUGUUAUAAACGAACAUAACGUUUCUUGUUAACUGAAGUAAACACAUUAAAGCACACUAAGUAACGUGAGUUCUUCAUACACGUUUUGUCAGCAUUUCCUUCUUAUUGAAUAUGAUUAUUUGUUAUGUCUCGAUAAAGCAUACAUAUCGUCGUGUAAAACUCAAAACGACAUCUGAAUCAAUAACUUGUUCACAGUUGCACACAAUCGCGAAGAAGUCAUAAUAAAUUCAUCCGACAAACAUUUAUAUCACCAAUGUAAACACAUCGACGAUAAGCGAACUCUUACAAAAACUAAAGCCUACAUUAAACCCAUUUAUGAAAGAACAAACACUGAUGUAUUACCCUGGAGCCAUUAUUUGGAUAAGCCCCGAUUCAUCAGGAUUACAAUAUAUUCACGAAUAAAAGGGUCCAAGUUCCUUACAUAGUUUCAUUGCUACUGAAUUGAAGUUUCACUUCCAUUGGCGAGUUUCGUUGAGUUGUUGACAGAUGUUUAAACGCCAUGGCAGCUGGGAUUUAUUUCUGUCAAUUUAUAACAGUUGUCGUGUAAAAAGAUGCCACUUUAUUGGCCCGGAAUUUCUCGGAAUUAUUCAAUAGACCUCAAUUACACGAUGGUACCGUACGUAGUUAAUAAAAGACCAACGUUAGCACCAUGAACGUAAACGUCAUACAUGUCGCUUACGUCGGGCUGCUGCUACAGGCAAUUAUAUGCAGCUGUGAGCAGUAUCUCCACAUACGGGCUUUCAACCCAACCACGUGGGACGCCGACUUCCCCUUCCGGCGAUUUGAAACAGAGAGCACAAAUGAGAUGGACAAAAACUUUACGGACAUUGCCACAGCGCCAUGGAUAUCGUGUCCAUUAAAGACUGCAAAACUUUCUCUCUUCGCAUACAACGGUUAUAGAAAUAAACAAAUGCUGAGCGACAUUGGGGACGGAUCAUGGACUCAAACUAAUGGUGGUGUUACAUUUUCUUCACUCGUGUCCCUAUGGCUAGACGUAGAAAUUACGCAUCUUGCUGACGAUUCUUUUGCUGGUCUUGUUAAGCUCGAGAUGCUAUAUAUCGGAUCGACGUCUCUGACGACUGUAACCUCCGGGUUCCAGCAGUCACUUCCGGCGCUCUGGUGGCUGUGUAUGGAGUACUGUGAUCUCACCACUUAUCAGCGAAAUAAUGUGACCGACAUUCAGUGUGGUUUGACGUUCGCCGUUUUGGCUUCCACACAGCAGUGUACGAGAAAUUACUAAGCGAAUGUAAUGGUUCGAUUGUUUCCUUGAACAAUAUGUGCACUUUAAAGAAUGUUUUUAUUUUAAAUUUUGUUCAUUCGUCAAAUGACCCUUUUGAUUGUUUCGUUGCUUUUGAGCUGAAUAGUAUUUCUACUUUAUUUAAAUGUUGUUUCACAUUAAUGAUAUGUUCUAAUUACUAAGCUUAAUUUAUGCGCGCAGCUGUUGCUUUUCUUACUGUUUUUUCUUUCCUGCUACUUCUAUCACUACCACCAACACUUAACCCGACAUCAUCAAGUGAAGACGACGACAGCAACGACUGCUUCUACUGCUGCUAUUACAUCGUCAAAAGCAGCAAUUACGGUUUGCGUUUGUUAUCGUUACAACAUUCCAUCUCCUCUUCCUCAUUCUUUGCUUCAGCUGCAGCAACACUAGCAUUAGCUUUACAAUAGGAUUUUUAUCAUCGUUGACGAUGGAGUGAGAAUACAUGGAACAUACGAAAUGAAUACAUUGGAGUAUGAACACCCCUACAUAAGCGUGUCUAUAAUUUGUCAUGUACUUAUGCAUCAGGGAAGACAAAAGUAAAUCUACAAUGAUUUACCGCAUUUACUGCUUGUUUUGAAUAAUACUGUUAAGUUUCCAAUGAUGUUUGCUUUGUUAUAUUGGGCUAACGUUGUACAAUAUCUUCUUGUUGUUAAUUCAAUUUGUUAUUAUGAUAAUAAAAUUCUACUGUU